rnacentral:rRNA from 1 species
AUGGCCCCCAAGGCGGAGAAGAAGCCGGCGGCGAAGAAGCCUGGCGGCGAGAAGAGGGGCAGGAAGAAGGGCAAGAAGAGCGUCGAGACCUACAAGAUCUACAUCUUCAAGGUGCUGAAGCAGGUGCACCCUGACAUCGGCAUCUCCUCCAAGGCCAUGUCCAUCAUGAACUCCUUCAUCAACGACAUCUUCGAGAAGCUCGCCGGGGAGGCUGCCAAGCUCGCCCGCUACAACAAGAAGCCCACCAUCACCUCCAGGGAGAUCCAGACCUCCGUACGCCUCGUCCUCCCUGGGGAGCUCGCCAAGCACGCCGUCUCCGAGGGCACCAAGGCCGUCACCAAGUUUACCUCCUCUUAG